rnacentral:rRNA from 1 species
ACGGAAGGCAGCAGUGGGGAAUAUUGGGCAAUGGGCGAGAGCCUGACCCAGCAACGCCGCGUGAAGGAAGAAGGCCUUCGGGUUGUAAACUUCUUUUGUCAGGGACGAAGGACGUGACGGUACCUGACGAAUAAGCAACGGCUAACUACGUGCCAGCAGCCGCGGUAAUACGUAGGUUGCAAGCGUUGUCCGGAUUUACUGGGUGUAAAGGGCGUGUAGGCGGAGCUGCAAGUCAGAUGUGAAAUCCCGGGGCUCAACCCCGGAACUGCAUUUGAAACUGUAGCCCUUGAGUAUCGGAGAGGCAAGCGGAAUUCCUUGUGUAGCGGUGAAAUGCGUAGAUAUAAGGAAGAACACCAGUGGCGAAAGCGAUCUACUGGACAGUAACUGACGCUGAGGCGCGAGAGCGUGGGGAGCAAACAGGAUUAGAUACCCUGGUA